GGGUGAGGAAACCCGACGCAGAGUCCGGAGAAGGCAGCAUGGAAUCCCUCCCUCAGGCCUCUCUGGACGGUGUUGGUGGUAGGAUCAAGAUGAACACACUGCAGACGAGGACACGAGCCCCACAGGAGCUCUUUGUCCCGCAGGAGACCAGCGGACCCACGUCAGAGAAGAUGCUUGUAUCUUUUCAUGGCUCUUCUCUGAGAAAUGA
rnacentral:lncRNA from 1 species